AGUGCUGCCUGGGCAGCCCACUUGGUUGGCUCUGUCAGGUUUCUGCAAUGAUGCUCAUCACAGACCUGACAUCUCGGUGGGCUAAACCAGAAGAGCUCGUCUUUCCUGCACAGUUGGCAGUCCUGCUGACUGAGGACUCUUCUAAGGUGACUUUGUCUGCUUGGCUCUGAUACAGGAGGUCUCGAGCCCAUCAUCCACCUUCCAAGAAACCCGCAUGAACCAAGACAGAAUUUUUCCAGUGAUCUCAACCUACCUAUGUGGAAUUGAGUAUGAGCUUCUGGGAGCUUCCAGAGAAGGGAUGUGACAGCGGCCGUUUUCAUGACAUGUCCCCCCACUAAGGGCACCCUCCAUGAGAUGGACGAUAUCUUGACCACCACAGUUGCUGCAGAGCCCGUGAUAAAGAAUUUAAUUGUCACAGAUGAUUUAAUAAAUAAAUUAAA